CGGGGUGAGUAAUGUCUGGGAAACUGCCUGAUGGAGGGGGGUAACUACUGGAAACGGUAGCUAAUACCGCAUAACGUCGCAAGACCAAAGAGGGGGACCUUCGGGCCUCUUGCCAUCGGAUGUGCCCAGAUGGGAUUAGCUAGUAGGUGGGGCAACGGCUCACCUAGGCGACGAUCCCUAGCUGGUCUGAGAGGAUGACCAGCCACACUGGAACUGAGACACGGUCCAG
rnacentral:rRNA from 1 species